AGUGAACGCUGGCGGUAGGCCUAACACAUGCAAGUCGAAUGGCAGCACAGUAAGAGCUUGCUCUUACGGGUGGCGAGUGGCGGACGGGUGAGGAAUACAUCGGAAUCUACUUUUUCGUGGGGGAUAACGUAGGGAAACUUACGCUAAUACCGCAUACGACCUACGGGUGAAAGCAGGGGAUCUUCGGACCUUGCGCGAUUGAAUGAGCCGAUGUCGGAUUAGCUAGUUGGCGGGGUAAAGGCCCACCAAGGCGACGAUCCGUAGCUGGUCUGAGAGGAUGAUCAGCCACACUGGAACUGAGACACGGUCCAGACUCCUACGGGAGGCAGCAGUGGGGAAUAUUGGACAGUGGGCGCAAGCCUGAUCCAGCCAUACCGCGUGGGUGAAGAAGGCCUUCGGGUUGUAAAGCCCUUUUGUUGGGAAAGAAAAGCAGCAGGUUAAUACCCCGCUGUUCUGACGGUACCCAAAGAAUAAGCACCGGCUAACUUCGU
rnacentral:rRNA from 1 species